UACGGAGGAUCCAAGCGUUAUCCGGAAUUACUGGGCGUAAAGAGUUGCGUAGGUGGCAGAGUAAGUCUGUAGUGAAAGCGUCCCGCUCAACGGGAUAAACAUUAUGGAAACUGCUCAGCUAGAGGAUGAGAGAGGUUAUUGGAAUUCCCAGUGUAGGAGUGAAAUCCGUAGAUAUUGGGAGGAACACCGAUGGCGUAGGCAGAUAACUGGCUCAUUCCUGACACUAAGGCACGAAAGCGUGGGGAGCAAACGGG
rnacentral:rRNA from 1 species